CGCCUACGCGACUGGCGUAGCGCGGCGCUCAGUUUGCGGAGCCGAGCUGGGAGGCGCGCCGGGCUGAGGUGAUGGUGGCGGCGAGCCGACAGCCAGCCCCGGGCCGACCCUUUCCCGGCUGCCGGCUCCUUCGCGGGCGUGGUGGGAGGCGCAUCUCCACCGUGAGAUGGGUAUAGCGGCUUUUGCCCUCGCUGCCCGCCUUUAUCUGCGGUCUUGGGCCUUGUACGCCGCAUUGGUGGCUCGCAGGGGGUUCAGGCCUACCUGGGUACCAGCCCUUUCGCUCUUUUUUUUCCCUCAAGUCCUUCCAGUCCUAAAGCCCUUUUCCCCCCUGUGAGAACCUCUCCAUCAGAGAAGUAGGCAUGUGAGUUUCGUGAAGCUGCUCUCAGGUUCCUACCCCAGGAGUUCUCUGCCAUCUCCACACAGGACAGGCUGUGGUGUGUUAACCUAAUCACUCUCUGAAAUUGGGAGCCAGCUAGCAUCUCCAGGGGCAAUGUUGAACCUAACAUGAAGAGGGCAAGAAGAGAGGUGGUACAGGUAGCCAGAUAAAGGAAUUCAGGUGAGAGGAACCAUUUCUGUGCUAAAUAACAUGGGGAAUAUUGAAGGGUC